GAUGAACGCUGGCGGCGUGCCUAAUACAUGCAAGUCGAGCGAACGGACGAGAAGCUUGCUUCUCUGAUGUUAGCGGCGGACGGGUGAGUAACACGUGGAUAACCUACCUAUAAGACUGGGAUAACUUCGGGAAACCGUAGCUAAUACCGGAUAAUAUUUUGAACCGCAUGGUUCAAAAGUGAAAGACGGUCUUGCUGUCACUUAUAGAUGGAUCCGCGCUGCAUUAGCUAGUUGGUAAGGUAACGGCUUACCAAGGCAACGAUGCAUAGCCGACCUGAGAGGGUGAUCGGCCACACUGGAACUGAGACACGGUCCAGACUCCUACGGGAGGCAGCAGUAGGGAAUCUUCCGCAAUGGGAGAAAGCCUGACGGAGCAACGCCGCGUGAGUGAUGAAGGUCUUCGGAUCGUAAAACUCUGUUAUUAGGGAAGAACAUAUGUGUAAGUAACUGUGCACAUCUUGACGGUACCUAAUCAGAAAGACACGGCUAACUACGUG
rnacentral:rRNA from 1 species